ACCUGGAGAUUCUGAGCACACCAGCACAACACUCCACUGCAGGGACAGAGCAAAGAGGAUUUGCAGAGCAUUCAGACUAAGUUCACAAAGAGAGAAGAUCCUCUCUUAUAGCCACCUAGAAAAGCAUUACUCCAAGGCCAGCGCAACACUGCCCACAGCUACUUCCAACCAGUGGCAGAUGUCACCUCCCCAGCUGCUGUGCUCCAGCAUGGAGACAGAGGGAUGGGCAUGCAACACCCACCAUGUUGUGACAGGAGGGCCUCGCUGUCUGCAGACGUACAAGCAAACAGAAAUCAAAGCCUGCCUGGAAACUGAAUGAAGUUGGAAUCUGUUGGUGGAAGCUGCUGGACUGUUCCUAAAAACACUGCAGCAGCAGGUGAGAGGCCUCCUUCUGAAGGAGCAGCGCUGCUGUCACCUAACACACAGUCAUUAGCACCUAAGACUUGUAUGUACUCCUCUGGUCCCCACUAUUUUCAUAGCACUUCCUUAUGUCUGAACAGCAUAUUCUGCUGGAAAGACAACUUGGUGAAGCAAAUCACUCAUCUAACAAUGAGCGUAAUAGUUGGUCUACCUACAGUGCUUAGAUAGCAAGCAACAAUCCCAAUACUGAACACCUCAGUCAGUGCUGUCAGCUACUUAUUAUUAAGAAGUCUUGUUAUACUUCACCUGGGGAUGCUUAUCUGAGCAGCACCUGUUCUGCAUAAGCUUUAUUAUGCACAGUCAAAAUGAAGCAACUGUUUGGUGUUAUGUCACACACUAAGCCAUUUCAUGCAGCAGUUUACAGAUCAAACAACUCAAACCUUGAGUAUUUGGGGAGGAAAGGCAACAUUCUUCAACACUUAUUGAGGCAACACUUUCAAUGAUAACUGACAGCAUUAAAAACACACUGUCAAGGCUGUCCCAUCCUGAUCUUUGAUAAAAUUUCAUUUCUCAUUUUAAGUGACAAGAUUAUCAGCUAUGCCAACAAAGAAGAACAUCAAUCAGCAAGCUGAUGAGCAGCACUGGACUAGCAUAAGGAAGAUUCCAGACUUGAGAUGUGGGAUUUGGAAUACCCACGUCAUAUCUUUUAUUGAAAUUGCUUAAUACUUUAUAUUACACUAUUUUGAUUCAAAAUGGAGUUUUUAUAAAAAGAAACCAUUGUUGAAACUGAAUAAGCCUGCCAAAAUAAACAAUGAAGAGUUUCAAAAAAUUCUAACCAACACAAUCUUGUAGAAUUUUUUGAAGCCUUAUCAUUGCCCAUAAAUUAAAGAAACACCUGGAGAAGAGCAAAACUGCUAGAGGAAAUCUGACUUCCAUUCAUUGCCAGCAACGCUGCAAAUCAAUGACCAUGGCCAGGAACUCCGUGUAAGAGUUUGAACUUAGGCUUUCAGAAACAGCAGCCCAAUGUUCUUUUCAUAAUGAAUGACAGAGAGGUAUUGUACAGACUGGGG